UACGAAGGGGGCUAGCGUUGUUCGGAAUUACUGGGCGUAAAGCGUGCGCAGGCGGUGAUGUAAGACCGAUGUGAAAUCCCCGGGCUUAACCUGGGAACUGCAUUGGUGACUGCAUUGCUGGAGUAUGGCAGAGGGGGGUGGAAUUCCACGUGUAGCAGUGAAAUGCGUAGAGAUGUGGAGGAACACCGAUGGCGAAGGCAGCCCCCUGGGCCAAUACUGACGCUGAGGCGCGAAAGCGUGGGGAGCAAACAGG
rnacentral:rRNA from 1 species